AGGACGAACGCUGGCGGCGUGCCUAACACAUGCAAGUGGAGCGACGAACCAGGCUUCGGCCUGGGGCAGAGCCGCGAACGGGUGAGUAACACGUGGGUAACCUGCCCUGAUGAUUGGGACAACCCGAGGAAACUCGGGCUAAUACCAAAUGUGCCCUCUGGCCUUAAGGCCUCUGGGAAAGGAAGCUUCGGCCUCCGCAUCGGGAUGGGCCCGCGGCCCAUUAGCUUGUUGGUGAGGUAAUGGCUCACCAAGGCUACGAUGGGUAGCUGGUCUGAGAGGACGAUCAGCCACACUGGGACUGAGACACGGCCCAGACUCCUACGGGAGGCAGCAGUGGGAAUCUUGCGCAAUGCGCGAAAGCGUGACGCAGCAACGCCGCGUGGGGGAAGAAGGCCUUCGGGUUGUAAACCCUUUCAGUUGGGACGAAGCUUCGCCGGUGAACGAGCCGGCUGGAGUGACGGUACCUUCAGAAGAAGCCCGGCUAACUACGCGCCAGCAGCCG
rnacentral:rRNA from 1 species